CAUAACCGUUGACAUCGGGGAGUUAAUUACGAGAAAAAAAGAAAAACUAUUUGCAUCAUGGAAUAUAAUGUUUAAGGCGCAUCUCAUGUCGCGGUUUUGGAGUGGGAACCAGCCAACGCACCAGAAUAACAACCGACGCGAAUGAAGAGAAGAUUAGACCAGAAGGAUCCAACCAGAAGACACAUGAACAAAGACCGGAUCCGAGAAGAUCCACCAAAGACAACCACCGAACAAAUCUCGCGAGAUCCGCCGGAGAGACACCUCCGCACGCCCUUCGGUGAUGCUAGAUGCACCACGGGAACGAAGGCUUGGCGGGGAGAACCUUAUUCCAUCUUCAAAAAGCCACGCCGUUUAGUCUUCCUGAGCAAGACACAAACCCUCACAAAACUUGAAGAAGCACCUAAAGUCGGUGAACUUUUAAGUUUCUUCAGCAUUCUUGCAAUAUGGGAAGCCAGAGGAGCGGUCGUCCAUUAUUCAGAAGCUAAAAGGGCAAGUGGUGAUCUUGAGCCAGCAGAAAUAUGCAUCUAAUGUCAUUGAAAAAUGUUUGGCCUAUGGAACUCCUGAAGAACGUGAUGUCCUUAUGAGGGACUUUUUUUAUUGUGGUCAAACAUUUCAGGUUUGUCCUACUUAACUAAGAUAUUGUGCAUCAUUGCCUAUUUUCUAAUCAAACCAUUCUGAUCUUGAAAACCAUAUCCUUUGGCGAUACACAGUGAUACGUGGCAUUAAGCACUUGUCCCUUGCAUGAAUACCAAAACUACCUUGUAGUCAACAGAUUCGCAGCAACCCCCUCUGAACAACACGAUACAUGGGAGGUGAUACUUUCAGUUUGCCAAAUUUGGUUAGUAAUCAUCAACACUGACCCGUGCAAAAUCAAUCGCCCACAACAUGUCUGCAUGUGUUCCCAGAAUCAGAUGUACAUUUACAUUAUUUUGGUCAUAUGCAAACAUAUUCUCCAUACAAACCUAAAAUACAGGGUUCACCCGACCUAUUACUCAUAGGCUGCAGAGUAUCUUCACUGCUACAAAUAUCUGAGUAUAUUCACCGCUAACUUUCUAAUUGGUGGGGUCAUUUCUUGAAGCCCCAACAUGUGUCUGGUUCUUUUUGUGUGACUAGGCAAUACAUGAGUUGAUAGUGUCUACAAAAGCCUUGUUGGUUUAGUAUGUGCUUGAUUUCUAGGUCAUUGGGUAUCAGACAAACCUCGGUUCUAAUUUGUUACUAUGUUCUAUUAUUAGUUGUGCAAAUUUUUUCAUGAUGCGCACCAAUUCUUUAGUGAUUUGAGUGCACUUCAUUCUGACUUUACCCAUUUGUUAUGCAGACACCGAUGAAGAAUCAGUUUGGCAACUACGUCGUACAGAAAGUCCUUCAGACAUGUGAUGAAAAAUACCUUGACAUGAUCCGAUCACCAUCAAGGUGCACUUGAAUGAAUGGAAGAACUGCACAUAUGUAAAGCAUAUCACUGCACGGGUUGAGAAGUUAAUAAUCUCAGGAGAGAACUGGGUGCGGAUGGCGUCGAAUCCCUGCAGAUGUCAACAUGCGGCGAAGUGCACUGACGUUGACGUUGGUUCUUCUUAAGCAUUGCCAUCACUUCUGGUGGAACAUGGAUGGACUGUGGAGGUUUUUCCGUUGGUACAGCGUGCAUGUAAUGUCAUGCCUUGGUAGAGAGGAGCAAGGUGUUCUCUUUCCUAUCUGGUGUUGAAUCUGGAGAGCCUUCGGGAAACUUCCGAGUAACUAGUUGAGUAUUAGGGUUUGCCGCUUUAUAUCUUUUCGGCCAUGUAAAAGUUUACAGGUGGAUAUAUAGCUAUACAUUUUAUGGAGUUGUUAGCUUGGUGAA